rnacentral:rRNA from 1 species
CCUACGGGGGGCAGCAGUGAGGAAUAUUGGUCAAUGGACGAGAGUCUGAACCAGCCAAGUAGCGUGAAGGAUGACUGCCCUAUGGGUUGUAAACUUCUUUUAUAUGGGAAUAAAAUGUUCCACGUGUGGGAUUUUGUAUGUACCAUAUGAAUAAGGAUCGGCUAACUCCGUGCCAGCAGCCGCGGUAAUACGGAGGAUCCGAGCGUUAUCCGGAUUUAUUGGGUUUAAAGGGAGCGUAGGUGGAUUGUUAAGUCAGUUGUGAAAGUUUGCGGCUCAACCGUAAAAGUGCAGUUGAAACUGGCAGUCUUGAGUACAGUAGAGGUGUGCGGAAUUCGUGGUGUAGCGGUGAAAUGCUUAGAUAUCACGAAGAACUCCGAUUGCGAAGGCAGUUCACUGGACUGCAACUGACACUGAGGCUCGAAAGUGUGGGUAUCAAACAGGAUUAGAUACCCGAGUAGUC